rnacentral:misc_RNA from 1 species
UUCUCUUUAAUUCCUGUACAUCCGAUCUUGUACUUCAAAAUCUUGACCCUCCAUCUCCCUCAAAUAAAUCCUGACCCUCCGCGGGGAGCGCCCGAUUCCUAUAAAUACCUGCAUGAAAAACUGUUCAGGGACGGACGAAAAAGAGACGAGAGGCUGUUAAUAUAGCAAGAGGAACUCUGAAAUUUCAUUUAGCUUGUUACUCUGCUAUUUAGAAGUGUUGAUCAAAAGACUUUGGAAACCAGUUUUCUGAAG